rnacentral:rRNA from 1 species
UUAAGCGACUAAGCGUACACGGUGGAUGCCCUGGCAGUCAGAGGCGAUGAAGGGCGUGCUAAUCUGCGAUAAGCGCCGGUAAGGUGAUAUGAACCGUUAUAACCGGCGAUACCCGAAUGGGGAAACCCAGUGUGAUUCGUCACACUAUCAUUAACUGAAUCCAUAGGUUAAUGAGGCGAACCGGGGGAACUGAAACAUCUAAGUACCCCGAGGAAAAGAAAUCAACCGAGAUUCCCCCAGUAGCGGCGAGCGAACGGGGAGGAGCCCAGAGCCUGAAUCAGCAUGUGUGUUAGUGGAAGCGUCUGGAAAGGCGCGCGAUACAGGGUGACAGCCCCGUACACAAAAGCGCAUGUGCUGUGAGCUCGAUGAGUAGGGCGGGACACGUGGUAUCCUGUCUGAAUAUGGGGGGGACCAUCCUCCAAGGCUAAAUACUCCUGACUGACCGAUAGUGAACCAGUACCGUGAGGGAAAGGCGAAAAGAACCCCGGCGAGGGGAGUGAAAAAGAACCUGAAACCGUGUACGUACAAGCAGUGGGAGCACCCUUUGGGUGUGACUGCGUACCUUUUGUAUAAUGGGUCAGCGACUUAUAUUCUGUAGCAAGGUUAACCGAAUAGGGGAGCCGGAGGGAAACCGAGUCUUAACCGGGCGUUAAGUUGCAGGGUAUAGACCCGAAACCCGGUGAUCUAGCCAUGGGCAGGUUGAAGGUUGGGUAACACUAACUGGAGGACCGAACCGACUAAUGUUGAAAAAUUAGCGGAUGACCUGUGGCUGGGGGUGAAAGGCCAAUCAAACCGGGAGAUAGCUGGUUCUCCCCCGAAAGCUAUUUAGGUAGCGCCUCGUGAAUUCAUCUCCGGGGGUAGAGCACUGUUUCGGCUAGGGGGCCAUCCCGGCUUACCAACCCGAUGCAAACUGCGAAUACCGGAGAAUGUUAUCACGGGAGACACACGGCGGGUGCUAACGUCCGUCGUGAAGAGGGAAACAACCCAGACCGCCAGCUAAGGUCCCAAAGUCAUGGUUAAGUGGGAAACGAUGUGGGAAGGCCCAGACAGCCAGGAUGUUGGCUUAGAAGCAGCCAUCAUUUAAAGAAAGCGUAAUAGCUCACUGGUCGAGUCGGCCUGCGCGGAAGAUGUAACGGGGCUAAACCAUGCACCGAAGCUGCGGCAGCGACGCUGAUGCGUUGUUGGGUAGGGGAGCGUUCUGUAAGCCUGCGAAGGUGGCCUGUGAGGGUUGCUGGAGGUAUCAGAAGUGCGAAUGCUGACAUAAGUAACGAUAAAGCGGGUGAAAAGCCCGCUCGCCGGAAGACCAAGGGUUCCUGUCCAACGUUAAUCGGGGCAGGGUGAGUCGACCCCUAAGGCGAGGCCGAAAGGCGUAGUCGAUGGGAAACGGGUUAAUAUUCCCGUACUUGGUGUUACUGCGAAGGGGGGACGGAGAAGGCUAUGUUGGCCGGGCGACGGUUGUCCCGGUUUAAGCGUGUAGGCUGGUUUUCCAGGCAAAUCCGGAAAAUCAAGGCUGAGGCGUGAUGACGAGGCACUACGGUGCUGAAGCAACAAAUGCCCUGCUUCCAGGAAAAGCCUCUAAGCAUCAGGUAACAUCAAAUCGUACCCCAAACCGACACAGGUGGUCAGGUAGAGAAUACCAAGGCGCUUGAGAGAACUCGGGUGAAGGAACUAGGCAAAAUGGUGCCGUAACUUCGGGAGAAGGCACGCUGACACGUAGGUGAAGUGAUUUACUCAUGGAGCUGAAGUCAGUCGAAGAUACCAGCUGGCUGCAACUGUUUAUUAAAAACACAGCACUGUGCAAACACGAAAGUGGACGUAUACGGUGUGACGCCUGCCCGGUGCCGGAAGGUUAAUUGAUGGGGUCAGCGCAAGCGAAGCUCCUGAUCGAAGCCCCGGUAAACGGCGGCCGUAACUAUAACGGUCCUAAGGUAGCGAAAUUCCUUGUCGGGUAAGUUCCGACCUGCACGAAUGGCGUAAUGAUGGCCAGGCUGUCUCCACCCGAGACUCAGUGAAAUUGAACUCGCUGUGAAGAUGCAGUGUACCCGCGGCAAGACGGAAAGACCCCGUGAACCUUUACUAUAGCUUGACACUGAACAUUGAGCCUUGAUGUGUAGGAUAGGUGGGAGGCUUUGAAGUGUGGACGCCAGUCUGCAUGGAGCCGACCUUGAAAUACCACCCUUUAAUGUUUGAUGUUCUAACGUGGACCCGUUACCCGGGUUGCGGACAGUGUCUGGUGGGUAGUUUGACUGGGGCGGUCUCCUCCUAAAGAGUAACGGAGGAGCACGAAGGUUGGCUAAUCCUGGUCGGACAUCAGGAGGUUAGUGCAAUGGCAUAAGCCAGCUUGACUGCGAGCGUGACGGCGCGAGCAGGUGCGAAAGCAGGUCAUAGUGAUCCGGUGGUUCUGAAUGGAAGGGCCAUCGCUCAACGGAUAAAAGGUACUCCGGGGAUAACAGGCUGAUACCGCCCAAGAGUUCAUAUCGACGGCGGUGUUUGGCACCUCGAUGUCGGCUCAUCACAUCCUGGGGCUGAAGUAGGUCCCAAGGGUAUGGCUGUUCGCCAUUUAAAGUGGUACGCGAGCUGGGUUUAGAACGUCGUGAGACAGUUCGGUCCCUAUCUGCCGUGGGCGCUGGAGAACUGAGGGGGGCUGCUCCUAGUACGAGAGGACCGGAGUGGACGCAUCACUGGUGUUCGGGUUGUCAUGCCAAUGGCACUGCCCGGUAGCUAAAUGCGGAAGAGAUAAGUGCUGAAAGCAUCUAAGCACGAAACUUGCCCCGAGAUGAGUUCUCCCUGAGACUUAGAGUCUCCUGAAGGAACGUUGAAGACGACGACGUUGAUAGGCCGGGUGUGUAAGCGCAGCGAUGCGUUGAGCUAACCGGUACUAAUGAACCGUGAGGCUUAACCUU